rnacentral:rRNA from 1 species
CAGUCGCCGCGGUAAUACGUAGGGUGCAAGCGUUAAUCGGAAUUACUGGGCGUAAAGCGUGCGCAGGCAGUUAUAUAAGUCAGAUGUGAAAUCCCCGGGCUCAACCUGGGAACCGCAUUUGAGACUGUAUGGCUAGAGUGUGUCAGAGGGGGGUAGAAUUCCACGUGUAGCAGUGAAAUGCGUAGAGAUGAGGAGGAACACCAGUGGCGAAGGCGGCUUUUUGGCCUGUAACUGACACUGAGGCGCGAAAGCGUGGGGAGCAAACAGGAUUAGAUACCCCCGUAGUCCCUGUCUCUUAUAC